rnacentral:rRNA from 1 species
CCUACGGGACGCAGCAGUGGGGGAUAUUGCACAAUGGGGGGAACCCUGAUGCAGCGACGCCGCGUGGGUGAAGGAGUGCUUCGGCAUGUAAAGCCCUAUCGGCAGGGAAGAAGCAAGACGGUACCUGACUAAGAAGCCCCGGCUAACGACGUGCCAGCAGCCGCGGUAAUACGUAGGGGGCGAGCGUUAUCCGGAUUCACUGGGUGUAAAGGGAGCGUAGACGGCCAAGCAAGCCAGGGGUGAAAGCCCGGGGCCCAACCCCGGGACUGCCCUUGGAACUGCAUGGCUUGAGUGCGGGAGGGGCAGGCGGAAUUCCUGGUGUAGCGGUGAAAUGCGUAGAUAUCAGGAGGAACACCGGCGGCGAAGGCGGCCUGCUGGACCGCGACUGACGUUGAGGCUCGAAAGCGUGGGGAGCGAACAGGAUUAGAUACCCGAGUAGUC